UUAAAUUGAAGAGUUUGAUCAUGGCUCAGAUUGAACGCUGGCGGCAGGCCUAACACAUGCAAGUCGAACGGUAACAGGAAGCAGCUUGCUCUCGGGUGACGAGUGGCGGACGGGUGAGUAAUGUCUGGGAAACUGCCUGAUGGAGGGGGAUAACUACUGGAAACGGUGGCUAAUACCGCAUAACGUCGCAAGACCAAAGAGGGGGACCUUCGGGCCUCUUGCCAUCAGAUGUGCCCAGAUGGGAUUAGCUGGUUGGUGAGGUAACGGCUCA
rnacentral:rRNA from 1 species